UACGGAGGGUGCAAGCGUUAUCCGGAUUCACUGGGCUUAAAGGGUGCGUAGGUGGGUUGGUAAGUCAGUGGUGAAAUCUCCGAGCUUAGCUUGGAAACUGCCAUUGAUACUAUCAGUCUUGAAUAUUGUGGAGGUCAGCGGAAUAUGUCAUGUAGCGGUGAAAUGCUUAGAUAUGACAUAGAACACCAAUUGCGAAGGCAGCUGGCUACUCAUAUAUUGACACUGAGGCACGAAAGCGUGGGGAUCAAACAGG
rnacentral:rRNA from 1 species